rnacentral:rRNA from 1 species
GAUGAACGCUGGCGGCGUGCCUAAUACAUGCAAGUCGAGCGAACAGAUGAGGAGCUUGCUCCUCUUCCGUUAUCGGCGGACGGGUGAGUAACACGUGGAUAACAUACCUAUUACACUGGGAUAACUUCGGGGAACCGGAGCUCAUACCGGAUAAUAUAUUGAACCGCAUGGUUCAAUAGUGAAAGACGGUUUUGCUGUCACUUAUAGAUGGAUCCACGCCGCAUUAGCUAGUUGGUAAGCUAACGGCUUACCAAGGCAACGAUCGGUAGCCGACUUGAGAGGGGAAUCGGCCAAAUUGGAACUGAGAAAGGGCCAAGACUCCAACGGGAGGAACCAGUAGGAAAUCUUCCGAAAUGGGCGAAAGCCGGACGGAGAAACGCGGCGGGGGGGAUGAAGGUCUUCGGAUCGAAAAACCCUGUUAUUAGGGAAGAACAAAUGUGUAAGAAAAGAUGCACGUAUUGACGGUACCGAAUCAGAAAGCCACGGCUAACUACGUG